rnacentral:SRP_RNA from 1 species
GGAGAUCGGCGGCGGACGAACUGCUCGCCAACCCGGUCAGAUCCGGAAGGAAGCAGCCGUAACGAGAUUCGGUUCGGGUCGCCCGUCCGGUCUCCCAC